CUUGACGACCAUAGAGCGUUGGAACCACCUGAUCCCAUCCCGAACUCAGAAGUGAAACGAUGCAUCGCCGAUGGUAGUGUGGGGUUUCC
rnacentral:rRNA from 8 species